rnacentral:lncRNA from 7 species
ACAGAGCGGAGCACGGUGAGCCCGCAGGCACUGACACAGCGCCCAUGUGCAGCCACCGCUUCCCGCCCAGCAACCACACCUGGGUCCAACACAGCAGUUCGGGUGGUUCCGUUUGCACAGACGUGUAACAGCUGCCCCGGUACCCACCAGGGCUCCCAUUCCUACGCGUCCUAAAAGGUUGGAGAUGACAAGAAAAGUCUUCACCCCCAGGAUAUUUUUUCACUGUGACAAUAAAGCAAUUACACUGUUUUUCAUCGAACACCUCGAAGCAUCUUCAGAUUUUGAAGCCUAAACUAAGACUUUGAUUCCCCUUGUUCUUAUCUGCAUGAAUACCUUAAAAUAAACCUAAAAGGGGAAUUCUCUGUGUUUUCUCACUCUUGGAGCCCAGAGCAGCGAAGACACAAAAGGGAGCAACUCCACCACUUGCAUCCUGUGUAUUUGCAAGGCUCAGGGCCUCAGCUUUCCCCACCCCUGGUGCUGGUGCUUGCCGGUGCCACGCACCGGGGAUCUGUUAUCUGCCCCCAUAUUGCCAGCAUGACACUUUUAUUACCCAGCAUCUCUUCCCUGAGAUUCCAGAAACCUUCCUCCAGUGCUGAUGUGCAACGCUGCUAAAGCAGACAGAGAGCAGAGACCUCACUGAUGUGUAUUAUCUGAGCAGCACAGACCAGCUGCCCGUGCUCCAUACAGACCCAGGAGGGACUCCAUCAGCACUUGUUUGCUCGGCGGUCAGCCCCUGCGCCACUCAUGGACUCCUCCUCAGGAGUCUGUAAGAAGUGACGAAGGCAACAACAAAGCUAUCACCACUUGGUACCUGCUAUCUGGAGGAGCAUUUGGAGAAGACGUGUCAGGAGCAGAACAUGCUGACAUGCUGAACUUCUGCAGUCCCUUCUCCAAGUUGUUUUGCCAGAGUCUCAUCCCACGUGAAUGACGUAUAAUACAGAGAGAGGAGAUGGGCUGUUGGGCCGGGUCCUGUUGAGGCCCAUUUUGUCCACAGUUGAUCUUCUCACACAAGCAAGGGAGAAAAGAUUUAAACUCAAGCACACGUAAAUCUCUAUGACUUACAAAUCACUUCGGUAUGAUAUUAACUGCUGCAGAAGCCCUUGCAUAACUGCUUGCUCACAUGGCUUAUGUAUGGACUACAGAGAAACAUGCCCGUCACAGUUUUUUGUAAUUCAAACACAUCUUCUAUGGCAACACGGCAAAUGACCAUCACACAAAGUCAUCCACAAACAUUCAUCUGUGCUCUGGCUUUUUUUCCUUCUCCAUAACUGCAAGAGCUGAAUUUUGGUAUGCCUGAGCUCAGAAACACCAGACUCAGGCAGUGUGUUACUUCCUUUUACUCUGAAGUUUACAACUACCAUGGCUACAUGUGGAAGGGAACUGCCGAGUCGGAGGCUGUACACAUAAAGAUGUGCCUUUUCCUACGCUCUCAAGCCUCAUUCUUUUGGUUUUCGGUUUCUCUGUUUUAUUCAAAUGCAGCUGUUGUGAGAGGCCACUGGCUCAGUUCCCUGGUAAAAUGUGAUGAGCUCCACAUAAACUGCCGAGGCAUUUAGAGAUCAUCAGUUCCACAGAGAAAGCACUACCAGAUUUUUUGUAUCACUCACUUACAGAGAUGCAGAACAAGGUAUGCUUUACUACUGAAUCCACAAGUACAGUUCUCUCACUUUGUUGUUGUUCAUUUGAUGAUAUAUAUUACAUAAAUUAAACUCAAAGAUGCAACGAUUACUGCAGGAACAACCAAGAUCUGCAUCACCAACAGUUUGCUUCUUUUCCAUUCACGCAUGUCUGCUCAAAUUUCUUUUUCUAUUAGUGACAAAGAGAAUUAUGAAAGGAUAAAAGCUGUGUUCUCAGAGGAAAUCAAGACAGACUUCUAUUACAUUGAGAUCAGGGAGAUAACUUGAAGAACUUCAUAAACAUGUUCCUGAGAGAAAAGCAGCCCAAACAGAACAGCCCAAUUCAGAUUUUCAUUGUCAUAGGACCACGGACUUUGUGACAUCAGCUCAUAAACAGAGAAAAAGCACAGAUAGAGCUGCAAAUUUAUUCUCAACUUCCAUAUACGGAAUUGUCUAGAAAACAAUGAUUUAUAAAACCUAACACUUAAAUGGUUAUGUUUUAACAUAUUAGAUCAACACCAACAACUAAUAUUUACUGAUUUGGUAUUUUUUAAUACAAUGUUGUUUGAUGCAAUUGUAAGCUUGUAGUAAAUAAUUUUUUUGAUAGAGCUGUUCUACUAAUGUAUAUAUUCCUCUUGUGUAAAAUAAUACAAGACAUCGAGUGCUGAUUUUUCAAGUGGUUAAAAAAUAAAAUGUUAUUUUUUGC